rnacentral:rRNA from 1 species
AAACUUUUAACAACGGAUCUCUUGGCUCUCGCAUCGAUGAAGAACGCAGCA